rnacentral:rRNA from 1 species
CGCCCCUCCACAAGUAGAUGAGAAAAAACAGUGACCUUAUUCCGUUACUGCAAAAACCCGAAGGGAGUAAAAACCCGACCAGGCGGCCUCCCCUUCUCGGUCUAGCAACAGGGACGAUCGCUGUUCAAAUAGACUGCACCCUACCAAGCCCGAUCUCCCCAUGAAGAUGGCUUGCUCAAGCAAGCAAGGUCGCUGAGAGGGUCGUGCUUGCUGAGCAAGCCCGACCCCACAGGGGUCCGGCUAGCAAGCCGUCAAUAGCUACAAGUUCUAGUACCGAUACCUCUAAUCCUAGUGGUCUCUGCUCCUUAACCUCAAGAAUAGCCUAGAUCAACUGUCUAAAGGGGACGGCCUAGACCGGCCGCCGCUCGACGGCUAUCUCGUGCCGUCUUCGAUCCGAUAUUAUACACCUGGACACCUGAGUUCGUAACCGCUUCGUCCUCUACGGUACCGUCAUCACCUUUGUCUAAACUUGUUGUGAACAGUCCCCCAACGGGACAGCCGCGGCCGCAGGCUCGUUAGAUGUCCCUUCCUGCUGGGACUUCGGGGACCGACCUGCGCUUCUUAGGCACAACCCGCACACGGACUACUUACCGGGGGUACACGACGGUCCUACUCACGUAACCUCGAUUGUUAUGCUUCGAUACGUCUCUUUUUUUGACUUUGACACUAUCAAGGACGAUACCCUCGGUCAAAGCUAUGCGACCCCUUCGAAUACUGAUGAUGUUAGAUAUAAGUACCCUCCAACCCAAGUCUCACUCUAUGCCGUUCUCGGUAGAUUUACAACUCUCUUGUUUUACGUACGUCCUCUAUCAAACGUGUGUGUUUUACGUACGUCCUAUGCCAUUUUCUUUAACAAGGUCGUUAACGUGGGCGUUCGCCCUUGCAAUCACUACGUCUUCCGUCACGAUAGCCCCUAAAGUAUCCUGACUUUGGUGGACUCACCUUUUCCUUUCGGCGCGCUGGUUGUUUAUCGUCUCUAUUCGGAGACAUACUACUGGCUCCACGUUUUUCGUUUUCCUACUUCGUUGCGUGUCGACGACUUCUACAGCUAUCCACACCGUGCUCGUUUGCGUGAGUGAAGACGUCGUAUACAGCUCUUGGACCAGUGUUCUCGUGUUGAACAGGCGCUGCUCCUCCAGAACGUGGUUUCCUUUCCUUGCUCCGAUUUACGAGAUAUACACCACAGCCACCGGUGUCCUCUUUGUGGACGUUGUUCGGUUUCCAACAAGAUAUACAACGACCCUGUUGAUUACACCUGCGCUUACGUGAGUGGUCAGACUAAACU